UGCAGAUCGAGGAGAUGCGCCCCAAAGAGUGACGGAGGAGGUGAGCGGAGGGCUGUGAGAAGAUGGAGAGCCACAAGCAAAGUAGGAUUUUGGCACCGGAGGCAGCUUGGGCAAGGUGGCACGCGAGCCUUGACGUGACAACUGGAAACGGCAGCGGCAGGGCAGGUGAAGGGCCGAGUUUUUUGUAGGUGCCGCAGAUGGCCGCGGAGGGGCCGAGCCGCACGCAGACGGACAGUGUGAGAAGGUGCUUUGGGAGCCGCCUUUGGGAUGGGAUGAGCGUUUGAAGCGAGCCGGGGUAGUCGCAAGGAGGAUCGUGGGUGACUCGUUAGAAGCGCAAGGGUAACUUUGUCUCUCGGUAUCUUAGGUGAAGAGGAAGGCGGCAACUGCAGGAACGUGCUAGUUAGCUGCCGUGCUGCUUUUGUCGAGGAUGGAAUCGGACCUCCGUCCCUCUGAAAGCUAAGUCGAGCGAACGGGGCCGAGAGGAGGG